AUGGUUCCCGGUACAAGUAGGAAGCCUUAAUUUCACAGACGAGAGAGCCAAAAACAUGAAGUUGCCCGAAGUUCAUGCUCGCUUUUUUCUCCCCCCCCCCUUAUCCUUAUUUUAAUGUAGUUAUCCUAACCGUAGCCUACGUCCUAACCAAAUCAACCGUCCACAAUGUUUUAAAGUAUUUAUAAUGUAGCUAACCUAACCUAAUUGAACAUUAGUAUCAUUUUAUCAACACAUUUACAAUGAACCAAAAAAAAAAAAAAAAAAACACCCCGAAGAUGCACGAUCGGGAGUUUGGCUCUCUCGUCUGUGAAAAGAUGGUUUCCCCGGUAAAAGUGGUCUUUUUCUGUUACGAACAGAUAUCUCAAUCGCUUUUAUUAUUGAACUUUACUGAAUAUUUUGCAGUUUUCUGUUACAAAACUUAUUCUCUAUGGUGAUUUGUUCUUUAUAGAUCGAUUAUUAACUGUAACAACACUCUGGAACAAAAGCGGGAGGACACCAUUGUGGAUCUUUGUAGCUGAGAGCUCGCACCAGUCUUCCGCCAUCACCGACCGAGAGUAGACGCUUCAGCACUCCGGGGACCUCACUGCUUGUUCAUCUCUGCAUAGUAAUUCUGUUCGUCGUUAAUUCUGUUUAAAUCUUUUUUCGUUUAGUCCUUGGAGCUCCUCUCGGUCGGGGGACUGCAUUAAUAAUUACGUUGCGACCAUUACUGGUCUUUUUUCCUAAGUAUUCUACGUAAGUCGAUGUGUGACCACGUGGUUGGUCACUUCACCUAAACCGAUUCGUGCUGCGGGCGUUUGUUACAGUUUAAAUUGUGUGCGUGUGUAAUCAAAGUUGGCUAAAUAAAUAAGGGCGUGUAAAUUUAAAUGUA